GACUGCUGCCCCCGCGACCCGGCCCCGGAUAAACGGAAGAAAAUGAUGAUGAUGAUGAUGAGACAUGGUGAUUAACCUACCAAAACACAGCGAGUUGGAGGCCAGGAGUGGAGGUCCAACCUACAACUUCAGGUCAAGUGGAAGAAAGUAAUAUUUUUGGAAAACCCUGCGUCUUGACCUGUUCGUCUGCCCCGUCGUGUCU